UUAAAUUCAGGGGGUCUUCCCACUUCAUCUGAGGUCUAAUUCAUAGAUGCGCAAAUUUGUUUACUUAAACACAAACCUCAAACAACAAACAGUUGCCCGUCCAUUGCCUGAAGCAAGCACUCAAGCUCACUCCUUUGUUCAUUUGUUUCUUUGGCUUCACAACAUAGGGUCGGUGGAUUGGAUUCACAGUUAAGUGAAAG
rnacentral:misc_RNA from 1 species